GACGGUUGUGUCCAUAUAAUUGCUAUCGCAAAAUUCGCAAUAAAUAGAAAUUUUCACUAAGGACCAACCACGCUGCUUCUCCAUGUCGUGAGAGAGCGGUGAACGAUAGUUCUAGAAAAUGUGUUGCUAAAUCUCCGCCAAAUGACUACGCUCGCAUUUGGUGACAACGGCACACAGUCGCAAGAACUUGUGGAGGAAAUACCGGAGUUCUGGCAGCUUCAGGUGCACUAGAUCAUUCAGUAACAUGGGCGGCUUUGUAGUUCUACCUCACAUCAGAGCAAACUGCACUCGACAGAAAUAAAGGGCAGCCGCACCGUUAUAGCUAAGCAAAUUAAGGACAAUUACGCCGCGUCUUCACACUUCGAGCAUGCUCCGACAGCCCCCCGAUAGAUAUUUCAAACGUAACCACGCUCGGACGGGCAAAUUUUGCUUCUGCCAAGUGAACGUAGCGGGCAUUUCAACACGCGUGUUAAAUUCAUGGCUGUUUCAUUCGUGAACAUUACUUAAGUGACGUAAAAUUAUCAGUGAGCAAAACAGUUUUUAUUUCAACGCGAGGAAACAAAACCGAAACUAGCGCAACUGUUUUGCUCAGUUGUGCAGAUACAAAAUGAUCCAAAGCCGAAGCCGUCAAUAGCAUGACGCCAUUUUAAAGUUGCGCUGUAUCACGCGCGAGUGCGUUGUCGUUGAGUGGUUCUGAAAUCGCUGCGUUAGGGGCGACUGCAACCAAGCGUUGCGGCAAGUUACGGUGGGAGCUUCUGUCCGUGCUGUGUGAUUGCGACGAGGGGACCGCCGCCAGCAGCAGCGUAUCGCCGAUUUCGUCUUUCGGUUUGCACUGCAUCUUUCAUUGUGAUAUGGGAGAUCGCAACGGACAGAGACGACCAGAUGCAUACGAACCACUACCAGCGGGGACCUGUGACCUGUGCCAUAUUUCUCUUAACGUCUCAGGUAUUCAAGAAAUGCCAACAUCCAGAAGACGCCAUCUUAUCCAGCACGUUAUGGGUACACUCUGGUGGCUCCCGCCCCUGCAUCCUACCACCACUGUGUCCUGACUACGUCCACUAGAGAGUUCGAAGCCUUUGGCGGCUCCUGCCACUGCGUCCUGCCACCACCGUGUCCUGACUACGUCCACUAGGGAGUUGGCAGCCUUCGUGAUGAUGCCAAGCAGGCUGGAAGCCGGCAGAAAGAUUAAGGUUGCCUCGAAAUUUUACCAAAGCCGUACCACACACUCGGGCCAGGCCUUUUUGCAAACGGCGUAUAACCAAGCUCAACGCAUGAGUGUCGAGUGAGUCUGGAGAUCAAGGCAACCUGCUGUGCAACCAGCAUGCAACCUUUGGUGACCCCUCUACAUGUUCCACCUAUUUCACAGCUGCACCUCAGCUGCAACUUAUCCAAACAGCAUCACCAACUGUGGUCACUCAUCGAACCAUGGAUGAAUGUUGGGGUGGAGUGAUUUGAAGAGACAUUCUAUUUGUCUCUUCAAAUUCUUAGCAAAUACUUGUGUUAUUAUAAUUAAUAUGUGUCUUUAGUGCCUAGUUUUUAAUGGUUCCUUUCUAUUAGAAUUCUCACCAUCGAUUCCUGGUAUUAUAAUGUAUGUCUUUAUGCCCAGUUUUUCGUAGUUGUUUCGUACUUGUGUAUGUAAUUGAUAGGUUCAUACUUGUUAUACAGAAGGCUAAAAUGCAAACUUACAGCAUUUUUUUUCUUUCUUUUGAUAAUCUACAGCACUGCAAAGUGUUCAAGAAAUGUAACCUAACAUGGGCUCUUGUGCAGGAAAAAUUUAAGAGCAAUAUAGAGUACUUAUUUCAAACACCCAUUAUUCUUGGAAAAGUCAAGAAUAUAGGAGCACAAAAAAGAAAAUAUUAAACUAGAGAAACAUGAGUUCCCCUCAUAAGUCUGAUAAUAAUGCGACUUCCUUUCACUGCAAAGAUACCAGUAAUGUACUCGCAUACAAGGUUUCAAACAAGAAAGCUAUGAUGCCCUUGGCAUUUCUCAGUGCCUAUUUGCCACACUGACGAAUGUCAAAGGCAUCGUAGGUUUCAUGCACACAUUGGUUGUGUUACACUUUUGAGUAUUGCAUUUCUCAAACACAAAGGUUUACAGCAGUGCUUUAAAUAGCAAGUGCAUUUCCUAAUUUAUUAGUGCAAGAGUAACAGUACAGAUCAUGUAAAAAUUAUUUUACAGACUAUAUGUCCAUGGAUGCACGCUUCUGAUGACAUAGCAGUGACGUGUUCGUGGGAUGAAUGUCUUUAUUUCAGAUUUAAAUAUUGGCUUCCAGGUCUGGGUUAGUCUCCUACACUGAGUAGUCUAGGUCAGAGCCCAUUUACUAGAGAAAGUGAAUUAAACUAGGAAUUAUAAACAUCAAAAGAUCUUGUUUAGGACACCAAUAAGACAAUCAGCAAGGUUCUUUGGUUAUUCAUUUCCAAAUUUGUGAGGAUAUAUUUUAUGACUGGUUUCAAUAUUGUGAGAACAAAUAUUUGUUUAUUGUCACACUAGAGUUGGCUGCCCCCAUUUGUAUACAACCCCUUUACAGGCUAAAAAUUCAGUGUGUUACCCUAUUUACUCGCAUAAUGAUCGCACUUUUUUGUAAAAAAAUUGACUCAAAUUCAGGGGUGCGAUCAUUACGCUGGUUAAAUUUCCCGCAAAAAGAAAAAAAUAUAUUAUCUGGCAUUUACUACGGGAUGACAACAGGUCAACAAAUAGGCGGCUGCUGCUGUAUGUAGUGCAGGACACGAAAAAAAAUGGUGGCCGGCAGAGCAAGCCGAACGCGCUGAAUGCGUUUUUCUUCUCGUGAGUACAUUACAGUGCAUUCAAACAGUUUCUUCCAUAUUAGUAAUGAAUAACAUCGGCAAGUUUGCGGCAAUAACAUAGCCAUGCCCACUUUGAGGGGACAGAGAUGGGCACGCUUAGCUCUGCCAGUGACAUAGGAACACAUGGUGGGCAUGCUGCGGAAACUGCGGCAUUUGUCUUCACCACUAUCCUAAUGUGGCACGUUUCCGCUAAGGGUGGGCGAAUAUCUUAGCUGCGUUACAAACGUCGGCGAAUGAAUAGGGUACACUUCUAACGUAUCAGUGUAAACGUGGCUGCUAUCAUUGCCGCUCGCGAUUUGUUGCGUGCCCACAAGUGCAGAUGAGAAGAAUCGAAAGACGCCUUUUUUUGUUGUUUUUGUUGACCACAACCAUUAUAAAGCCUACACAUAAUAAAGGAAAGUUUGGUUGUAGCUUUUUUUUGUCGUAGAAGUGCAGAAAGUGAUGAAAGGAAUGAAAUGGGGCAUCUGCUUAAGAAAGUUUUUUGCAUGCAGUCUGCUUGGUUUGUCUUGAAGAGUCGUUCGCAUAGCAGUCGACAGAUGGUAAGCGCGAUCAUUAUUAGCUAGAUUUGGCACAUGACACAUCGCUGCGGCAAGUUCGGGGUGAAAUCGUUACAUGGGAAAUAAAAAAAAUCGAAUUUUGACGACAAAAUUUAGGAGUGCGAUCAUUACGCGAGCGCAGUCAUUAUGCGAGUAAAUACGGUAAUAGGCUGUUUUUGGUUUCGUGCACUCUAUGUUAAGGGAUGCAAAUGGUGACAUACAACAGAAUGCAAAAAUGACUAAUGAAUUCAAGCAGGGCAUGGGGCUUUUUAGGCAGAUGCGUGCGUGUGCUAUUUAUAAAGCUCCCCAUGGUAUGCCUGAAGGCAUUUUCUAACACUUUGGUAGAAUACACUGACACCCCCUUAUUAACUCUUCGAAACAACUCUUUUAUAUAUUUGUACUAGAGAUUUGAAUAUACUGUCAUUCAUAAAGUGUUUUAUUAGAUUUGAAUUGUCAUUUAUUUUUGUGUAGCUGCUGUUUUUCAGUUAUGUCCUACACAGUGGCAAAAUAUUUUUGUGGGCACUUUCCUGUGUAUAAAAUUUUCAGAAAUAGCUUCAUGCUGUAUCUUAUUUAGCUACUCGUAUACUGCAAAGUGGUGAUACCUAUCCAAACGGCUUGUACAAUUACUGGAACUAUGCAAAAAUAUAUUAGGCCACAUUAAAUAAUUUUACAGAUUGCAAUUUCAAUUAGAUAUCAGCAUUCUGCAUAUCUUGAAGAGUACGUAUGCCAAAUUUCGAAGUAUAGGACAACUAUAAGUGCAUAAGAAGUAUGCAAGAUUAGUAGGCAGGCCUCUCUGCCUGCCUACUAAUUUUGCAUACUUCUAGUAACUUUACAUGCUCUUUGAAUAGAUAUCGGCACUUUGCAGUCUACAAAGAGCUGAGGUAGCUACAGCACACUGCUUUUUGUGAAAAUUUACACAAGAAAGUGCCCGCAAAGAUCAGUGUAUUUUCCCAUUGUGUAGGACAUAACUCAAGAAGCAGCUAAAGAAAUACUAAUGACAUAUAUGACAUCUGCAUGAAGAACUCUACAAUUUGCUCUCUUUUCAAGCCUCUAGCACGAAUAAUAAGACUGUUUCGAGUAAUAUUCAAUCAGCAAAACAUGCCCCUUGCUAUAGUGACCUACAACAUAGAAACGCAAAUUGAACGCAAGUCUUUUUGUUGAAGCGACUCUGGGCUGUCUUCCCAAGGGCUUCUGUUAAACACUGAAAUUUCCUGCAUUUACCAGAAGUGCAAUACUCAAAUGUUUGUGUAUGUGCAAUUGGUAUUGGCAAACUAACAGAAAAAAAGACAGUUCUGUGAAAUGAAGAAUUGACUAUAACUUUGUUCGACAUUUACAUUUUGACUCCAUAUCUUUGUUUUGUGCUUUGUACUGAGUGUUUCAGCAGUGACUGCCGCUAAAAAUUGAACAUAACUGCUUCAUGACAAUGCGACAAUUUUCGCUAACAGAAAUUUAUAGCAGUGGCAGGCAUUAUAAUUACCGUACUCAAUAACGUCUAGUUUGUAAGAACUCAGACUAGCACCAGUUCCGAGAUACACAACCCAAAAAGACAUGAUCAGAUAGGUUUAUCUUCCACACAGAAUUGUCCCAUAAAGCUUACAAAAUGUUUUGUGGCUAAGUAAUAUCUGCAACAGCAAAGCAUGUUCCACCAAGUAUGGCGAUAAAUAUUUCAGAGCUGUCAGUCUGAGGACUCCUACAAACUAACAAUACCUUCAGCACUGACUAGCCUCAAUAAUAGGAUGUCAGCCAUUUUGCUGAAAUUAAUAAAACUUCAAUUAUUGUGAUCUUGUUUACGAAAACAUUUGCAAUUGUAAUUCAGUUCUAGUAUCUGUCACUUUUGUAAAUAUUUUCCAAUUAGUUUUUCAGACUACAAUUUUUGGUAAUAGAGGUAUUCAUUGCAGAAAGAUCUAGUACAUGGCACUUAAUAAUAAAGGUACUGGUCAUCGUAGACUUUCUGUUGCACAGCUGUUUCUCGAAAUCUGAAAGGAUGUACCCGCCUCCUUAUGUUAGCUAGAAACGGAAAUCUGUCAGUAUGUUUUGUUUAAAAUACAGCUGAUCAACCCGAUAGUUAGGCUGCUUGCCAAAUAUAAAUUAUAACGAUAAUAGUGAAGGACCAUAAUAACAGAGUGAUGCUGACUCAUAACUAUGCCCAGCUACAUCCACGCAGCUGUGCCAUACAAUGUGCAUGUGUUCAGAAGAGCCAAAUGCCCCAGAGAGAAAGCAACAGUAACUCAUUGUUUGUCAUCUUGUUCAAGCAGAUUAUGCGCUAGCUGUAAUUUAUGCUCAGUAAAUACAUAAAUCAGUCAUGUCAGGUGUCUUACUUUAGGUUGCAAGUUCGAAGUUCUUGUAAUCUUGCUUGUUUUUAUUUUGUUUUCUUUGUGAGAAUGAGUCACUUGGUUGCCUUCGCACAUAUUCUCAAAACUGUUUCAUCACUGGGAAUCAGGAAAUUUAAUUUGCAUAUGAAAUUCCCAGUUACUAAUUUGGUAGGCUUUGAGCUUAAUUCUCUUAUCUUUUAUAUGUUUAUCUACCAAGUAGUCUUAUCGUUCAUUGAAACAUAUCCAUGUAAUGCAGAGAGGGCACCCAAAUUAUAAAUAUCUCUUCUUGCUUUCUACCCUGCUCUGGUGUUUUCAAAACCUAGCAUUGGUGCAAUGGCCUGUCUGCAGAAAAGUAGUAAAGUGGCUAAAUUUAAAGGUCAACAACAUAAUUAAGAUACAAAGCAAAAAUAUAAGUUCGCAAUUGUCCCCCAUAACGAGAGUUCUGCUUAGAAUUAAAAAAAAAAUUGACAUCCUGCUGUGGUGUGAGAAUUGCUUUGGGUUCCAAGGGGACUACGUAGCACCUGUACUAGUGUAUACAAAGCAAAAAAAAAAGAUCACUCCAGAUUGGAGCGGCAGUGGGAAGUCAAGCACAGAUGCUUUAUUUCACGCACCAUUAAUGUGGUUUAUCAUCUGCUCCUGUUGUAUGGGAAUGCAUACAUUGGGAAGACAAUCCUUUGCGCCAUUGUUACCUUAGCGGGACACCAGAGAAAGGUAGAAAUCGAGAACAGGUAUUCACACUUGGUUGCCCACAGUGUGUUAUUUGGAUGUGUUUCACUCUACAAAAGACUACUGUGGUAGGUAAUCAUAAUGACAAAGACAAAAGAAUUAAAAGAGGCAUGUGUCCGUCAUCCGUCCGUGACCUCCAGUGUUUAUAGAAACACUUCUUUGUGUAUAUGUGCCAAGCCGUAGGGAGGCUUUACGUAACUCAGUCAUGCUUGCUAAGCUAAAGAUUGGAAUAAGGAAAAUCACAAGAACAUUGUAUGAGUGAUUUAUAAAUGUGCACCUAAAGUAACUUAUUCAUGUAUGUCCUGAGGAUAGAUUACAGCCAGUGCAUAAUGUGCUCUUACAGGAUGACUUGUGAUGAGUAAAAGAAGCCUUCCUCACAUCUUCCUCUUUGUUUCUUUUGGAUCUUUGUGCACUAUGUGUAUUGUUACAGCUGCGUGCAUGCAGCUGGGUAUAGUUUGUUUAUGUGUUCUGCUUCCUCUCUUGUACUCAUCAUUCAUGCGCUAUCUUUGCCGUAACAAAAUACAGCUGCCUGUGCUACUUAUUUUGUCAACAUGUUUGCAUUAUGGAAAGUUUUGUAUUAGCGGUUGUUUCUACCUGUGAAAUUGUCUGUGUCAGCUAUUUUACUUAGUCUUGCAAAAGUAUGCUUCUCAACAUAAAUAAAUGAUCAGUGUAAGUGUUGCUGUAUUUAUUUUUGUAAUUUUGUCAGUUAUGAGGUUUUUAUACACUGUUGCAUGUUGUAUGACAGAAUAAAAUUGAUGCACAACUUUUUAA